rnacentral:rRNA from 1 species
GAUGAAUGCUGGCGGCGUGCCUAAUACAUGCAAGUCGAGCGAACAGACGAGGAGCUUGCUCCUCUGACGUUAGCGGCGGACGGGUGAGUAACACGUGGAUAACCUACCUAUAAAACUGGGAUAACUUCGGGAAACCGGAGCUAAUACCGGAUAAUAUCUUGAACCGCAUGGUUCAAUAGUGAAAGACGGUUUUGCUGUCACUUAUACAUGGAUCCCCGCCGCAUUAGCUAGUUGGUAAGGUAACGGCUUACCAAGGCAACGAUGCGUAGCCGACCUGAGAGGGUGAUCGGCCACACUGGAACUGAGACACGGUCCAGACUCCUACGGGAGGCAGCAGUAGGGAAUCUUCCGCAAUGGGCGAAAGCCUGACGGAGCAACGCCGCGUGAGUGAUGAAGGUCUUCGGAUCGUAAAACUCUGUUAUUAGGGAAGAACAAAUGUGUAAGUAACUAUGCACGUCUUGACGGUACCUAAUCAGAAAGCCACGGCUAACUACGUG